AACCACCUUGAAUCGCCGAGUGAAUGUUGUGGCCAAGCCACUCCAUACACAGAACAAAUAAAUAUGGAGAGAUAGACGCCCCUGAAAAAUACCCUUGACUGGUCAGAAUUUAGGGGAUGAAACUCUAUUCCGAAGAAUCUGCUUAGUAGAAUUAGAGAUAACAGACAUUAUAACAUUAAUAAGGAGAUCAGGAAUACCUGUGGCUUUAAGAAAAGCUUUAAUAAAAUCUCAAUGAACUCGAUCAUACGCAUUCUCCAAAUCAAUCUUUACAGCCAUCCAUUUCUUGUUCUUUUGCUUGCUUUUCAUACAGUGGACGACUUCUCG
rnacentral:lncRNA from 1 species